CACGGAGGGUGCAAGCGUUGUCCGGAUUUAUUGGGUUUAAAGGGUGCGUAGGCGGCCCGGUAAGUCAGUGGUGAAAGCCUCCAGCUCAACUGGAGAACUGCCAUUGAUACUGCCGGGCUUGAGUACAGACGAGGUUGGCGGAAUUGAUUGUGUAGCGGUGAAAUGCAUAGAUACAAUCAAGAACUCCGAUUGCGUAGGCAGCUAACUAGGCUGUAACUGACGCUGAGGCACGAAAGCGUGGGGAGCGAACAGG
rnacentral:rRNA from 1 species